rnacentral:rRNA from 1 species
GACGAACGCUGGCGGCGUGCCUAACACAUGCAAGUCGAGCGGAGAAAUUAAAGCUUGCUUUAAUUUCUUAGCGGCGGACGGGUGAGUAACACGUGGGCAACCUGCCCUUGAGAGGGGGAUAACACAGAGAAAUUUGUGCUAAUACCGCAUAACAUUUAGACUUCGCCUGGAGUUUAAAUCAAAGGAGUAAUCCGCUCAAGGAUGGGCCCGCGGCGCAUUAGCUAGUUGGUGAGGUAAUGGCUCACCAAGGCGACGAUGCGUAGCCGACCUGAGAGGGUGAUCGGCCACAUUGGAACUGAGACACGGUCCAGACUCCUACGGGAGGCAGCAGUGGGGAAUAUUGCGCAAUGGGGGAAACCCUGACGCAGCAACGCCGCGUGAGCGAUGAAGGCCUUCGGGUUGUAAAGCUCUGUCUUUGGGGACGAUAAUGACGGUACCCAAGGAGGAAGCCACGGCUAACUACGUGCCAGCCGCCGCGGUAACAC